UCCCAGACUCCUACGGGAGGCAGCAGUGGGGGAUAUUGCACAAUGGGGGAAACCCUGAUGCAGCGACGCCGCGUGAGUGAAGAAGUCUUUCGGUACGUAAAGCUCUAUCAGCAGGGAAGAAAAAUGACGGUACCUGACUAAGAAGCCCCGGCUAACUACGUGCCAGCAGCCGCGGUAAUACGUAGGGGGCAAGCGUUAUCCGGAUUUACUGGGUGUAAAGGGAGCGUAGACGGCUGUGCAAGUCUGAAGUGAAAUGCCGGGGCCCAACCCCGGAACUGCUUUGGAAACUGUGUAACUGGAGUACAGGAGGGGCAGGCGGAAUUCCCGGUGUAGUGGUGAAAUGCGUAGAUAUCAGGAGGAACACCGGCGGCGAAGGCGGCCUGCUGGACUGAAACUGACGUUGAGGCUCGAAAGCGUGGGGAGCAAACAGGAUUAGAUACCCUAGUA
rnacentral:rRNA from 1 species